GUUGGCGGUUGCCGAGUAUUCUCGCGCGAAGAUCGACCGCGUAAUCUGACAUUAUUGACUCACACUCCCAAAAGUAUGAUGUAUGGUCCUCGACGGAGCUUUCGCAGCCUCUAAGGAGGGAUGAUGAGGUGGCAGAUCCGAGGGAGAGCCGAGACGUUCAGCGCGGGCGAUCUUGUCUCCACACCCACCACGCUCACCUGCCUCCAGCCUGUAUCCAGCGGUUUCUCUGUCUCCAGCUUUCCUUGCAUAUGAAACUAUCUACAACUUGCAAAUGACAUAUUAAGUCAAGAAGAUGUCAUAUAAACAAGAAAGUGCAUGCAGUGAUUGUGCAGUCUUCACAGCAGAAGAAAACAACAAUCUACUUAUGUACAAAUCUAACAAAAAGCUGAUUAGUCUUUUAUCAUAUAUAUCCUGACAAUCAAAAGCUUUGCUCUCUCCUAUUGAAACCUAGUGUCACAAAUAUAAUGAGCAUUCUCAUUACAUUAAAGCACAAAUACCUAAGUACACUUCUGAAAUAAAAGCUAUGAGUAAAAUAUCAUGUACCUGCUAAGUCCAAAGAGGAACUUUCAACAUUGAGUAAUCUCAAGUACAAUUUCAAACGGCCUAUCAAUAAAAAUGUUCAAAAAUCUUCUCUUUAGAUGUACAUAAUUACAUACAUACAUACAUACAUACA